CAGAGUACUGCAUCAUCAGAUUACUCAGUGUGAGCACAGAGUACUGCACUGUGAGAUUACUCAGUGUGUGCACAGAGUACUGCAUUGUGAGAUUACUCAGUGUGAGCACAGAGUACUGCAUUGUGAGAUUACUCAGUGUGUGCACAGAGUACAGCAUUGUGAGAUUGCUCAGUGUGUGCACAGAGUACUGCACUGUCAGAUUGUUCAGUGUGUGUCAAACCAGCUUUAGCAGCACUGAGAGAGAACUGACUUCAUUAACACUGGAGAUCUUGGAGACAGAUCAAGUACUCCUAUGCAGGGCAACACAAGGCACUGCAUUGAAGGAAGUCUUCCAAGAGCAGAGAAAUUCUCUCCUGGACACUACUUCCACAGGUAUGUGAAACCUUUUGUGGAAAUAAAUAAAUAAAUAAGAUUGACACAGUCUUUACAGGCAUAAAUAAUGUACACAUAGAUUUUUUUCCUUCCACAGGACUAAACAUAUUUGAAUAUAUAUGUUUAUUAUGUAAGGGGUAGCACAUGCAUGUCCAAGACAAUUUAUUUGAAUUGCAAAUGAGCAUAUGAAAAAGAUUUAAAAAACAAUAUGUAUGGAAAAACCCUGUAUUUUCAAAACAAUAACAUAUCUAUGUACCUGAGUUGAGAGAGGGAGGAUCUUGUGAUGUUCCAGGUCACCCACCAAGAGGCUCCAGGAGAAAAGUGAGUCUGGAAUCUAAUUUACAGUCCCAGUGGAGCCCAUGAGAUAUUAUAUAAAUGAAAAAGAGACAAUUUGAAUACCAGGAAGAUUACUUCCAGAGAGACCAUGAAACUAAAAAUGACAACAGAGAGGCCCCCAAAGUACAGAAAAAGCCGUCAGCACACACAUUUGUAGUCAUCCAGCUUGAGUUCACCGCUGCAAGUCUGCAGAGAAAAGGACAGGGAAAGAAAACACCCAAGAGAUAGAGUGCAAGGUAGCAGGGUAGUUCUUCAAGAUCCUGCGUAGGAAAGCAGUGGCAGAAAAGGAAGGGGUAGGCCAGAGGCAAGUCGGGAAGCAAAGGCUGACAUCACCCACAGAAAGCAGAACAUCGAUUUCGACUUUAAAUUUUUUUUCCUCAGAAUUUUCAGAUAGUUCCAUUUAACUUCCAAGUUCGUUGAUCAACUGUCAUGGGGAGAAGGGAUAGACGUCACGGAGCAUUGUGUCAUUAACAUUCGUUGCUGAAGAAGACUGGGAAGGUGAGGUACAUUUUAAAAUCACAGUAUGAGAAGGUUUAAGUAAAUCGGAUAGGAACGAUCCCUCAGAAGCUAAGGAAGGACAGAAGACACUUCCACUCUGAGAGUUUGAGACUUCAAACCUGUUGUUGACGCAGCCACGAGGUCCAUGGGCAGAGGUGGACAGAAGUGAGGACUGUCCAAAUGGUGGACUGCUUUGAGCAAGUGAAUGAGUCGUUGCAACUCCACAACUGGGUCAACACCAAACGUUUAGGUUCUGUGUGAUCAAAAUAGAAGGUCUUCACGUAUAUGGACCUGUCCUCCGCUAAGAUGUAAUUAUCAGUUGAUCAGGUUGAAAGACGGCUGAGUAGAUCCGGCACUAACAACAGAAUCAUCACACCAUGGAGAAACAAAUGUUCUAACAAUGUUCAUAACUCUACACGAUCCUUUCCUUUUUCACCACAAUCUAUGCUUCCCCAUCUGGCAGACAAGUAUGGAUCCCUUUCAACAUGGUAGGUAACAUUCCAGAUUGGAUAAUAAAAGUCUCUGUGGGAGAAGCCAGUUCAUACA